AUUGAACGCUGGCGGCAGGCUUAACACAUGCAAGUCGAGCGGAGUGAUGGUGCUUGCACUAUCACUUAGCGGCGGACGGGUGAGUAAUGCUUAGGAAUCUGCCUAUUAGUGGGGGACGACAUCUCGAAAGGGAUGCUAAUACCGCAUACGUCCUACGGGAGAAAGCAGGGGAUCACUUGUGACCUUGCGCUAAUAGAUGAGCCUAAGUCGGAUUAGCUAGUUGGUGGGGUAAAGGCCUACCAAGGCGACGAUCUGUAGCGGGUCUGAGAGGAUGAUCCGCCACACUGGGACUGAGACACGGCCCAGACUCCUACGGGAGGCAGCAGUGGGGAAUAUUGGACAAUGGGGGGAACCCUGAUCCUGCCAUGCCGCGUGUGUGAAGAAGGCCUUAUGGUUGUAAAGCACUUUAAGCGAGGAGGAGGCUCUUUUGGUUAAUACCCAAGAUGAGUGGACGUUACUCGCAGAAUAAGCACCGGCUAACUCUGUGCCAGCAGCCGCCGUAA
rnacentral:rRNA from 1 species